rnacentral:misc_RNA from 1 species
UGUGGGAGCGGGCUUGCCCGCGAUUGCGGUGUGUCAGAUUAGAAGUAUUUAACUGAUCCACCGCCAUCGCGGGCAAGCCCGCUCCCACA